rnacentral:rRNA from 1 species
UUUGAMUUUGAAAAAUGGACUGCUCAGUAAUACUCACUUUAUUUUAUGUAAAUUUUUAAUUAACUACGUUAAAGUGUAGAUAAGAUGUUUACAGUAAGAGUGAGACCUAUCAGCUAGUUGUUAAGGUAAUGGCUUAACAAGGCUGUGACGGGUAACGGUAUUACUUUGUAAUAUUCCGGAGAAGGAGCCUGAGAGACGGCUACUAAGUCUAAGGAUUGCAGCAGGGGCGAAACUUGACCUAUGGAUUUUAUCUGAGGCAGUUAUGGGAAGUAAUAUUAUAUUGUUUCAUAUUUUAAAAGUAUAUGAGGUGAUUAAUUGGAGGGCAAAUCAAGUGCCAGCAGCCGCGGUAAUACUUGUUCCAAGAGUGUGUAUGAUGAUUGAUGCAGUUAAAAAGUCCGUAGUUUAUUUUUUUAAAAAGCA